rnacentral:lncRNA from 1 species
GUUUUUAUUGGGUGGUUUGUAUCAAAUCUUCUCAGCUUUCAUCACCGACCCUAAAAACUUGGGUUCGUCAUCAGCAAGGUAAUUAGGUGAGCGGAUUCUGGAUUUUGACCGAUGAUCUACCCAUAAAAGAAAGUGAGAAAGAGAGAAAAGUCAGCUUCUUCGUCGCUGGACUGGUCUGAGGCAGACGAAGAAUAGGGGGCCACCUAAAAACUUGGACGAUCGAGUUCAAUGUGUAGAACCACUGAAUAUAUACAUGGCUCCUGAAAUUCUGCUGUUUAAAGGCCACAACAAAGAUGCAGAUUGGUGGAGCAUUGGUAUACUUUUGUAUGAGAUGCUAAGUGGUCAGUUUAAUUCUCUCUGAUUUCAAGGGACUGUGUUUCAAUUAAGUUGGCCUGUUUACUUAUCAAGUUUGAGCCACAUUCGGUUUUUUAGUCAAGGAAAGCAUCA